AAUACGAUCCCGGACCUUGCACACACCGCCCGUCAAGCCAUGGAAGCUGGGUGUACCUAAAGUCGGUAACCGUAAGGAGCCGCCUAGGGUAAAACUAGUGACUGGGGCU
rnacentral:rRNA from 1 species